rnacentral:rRNA from 1 species
UACGAGUGCCCCAAGCGUUAUCCGGAAUUAUUGGGCGUAAAGAGCUCGUAGGCGGUCUGUCGCGUCGGCUGUGAAAUCCCGAGGCUCAACCUCGGGUCUGCAGUCGAUACGGGCAAACUAGAGUAUUGCAGGGGAGACUGGAAUUCCUGGUGUAGCGGUGAAAUGCGCAGAUAUCAGGAGGAACACCGGUGGCGAAGGCGGGUCUCUGGGCAAUAACUGACGCUGAGGAGCGAAAGCGUGGGGAGCGAACAGG